GCGGCGGUGGGGUUUGCCAACUAGGAUGUGGAAGUUGGUCCGAGUUCCCAGCUGGUCUAACUGGUCUCCCUCCAGGUAGUUAGCUGAAAUCCUAGCAGCCGCUCUGGUGGAAGCGGUCAAAGGCGAGGCCCUCCCUAGCCUAGGCAGGUGAACUCCGCUGCCCUAGCCUGUGAGCUUGGCCGCAUCUGCCCACCUUGGCUUUGGGGCGCUGGCUGCCAGUUUGUUGUGGUAGUUGUUUGUUUUUGAACAGGCUCCAUCAGGGUGCAGUUGGAGCAACAGCACUGUGUGUGUGAGGUUGUCGCCUGUGGGAGCCCUGGUGUGACAUGUGUCCCUCCGCUCCCCUUUGCAGGGUGAAGCUCUGGGCCUCUGCCUUCGGUGGGGAGAUGAAAUCCAUCGCAGCCAAGUAUUCAGGUUCCCAGCUUCUGCAGAAGAAAUACAA
rnacentral:lncRNA from 1 species